rnacentral:rRNA from 1 species
UAACGCGAAGAACCUUACCAGCCCUUGACAUGUCCCGUAUGGGCACCGGAGACGGUGUUCUUCAGUUCGGCUGGCGGGAACACAGGUGCUGCAUGGCUGUCGUCAGCUCGUGUCGUGAGAUGUUGGGUUAAGUCCCGCAACGAGCGCAACCCUCACCUUCAGUUGCCAUCGGGUUAAGCUGGGCACUCUGAAGGAACCGCCGGUGACAAGCCGGAGGAAGGCGGGGAUGACGUCAAGUCCUCAUGGCCCUUAUGGGCUGGGCUACACACGUGCUACAAUGGCGGUGACAAUGGGGAGCGAUGGGGCGACCCGGAGCCAAUCUCAAAAAGCCGUCUCAGUUCAGAUUGCACUCUGCAACUCGAGUGCAUGAAGGUGGAAUCGCUAGUAAUCGUGGAUCAGCACGCCACGGUGAAUACGUUCCCGGGUCUUGUACACACCGA